rnacentral:lncRNA from 1 species
CCAUUUCGUUCUUUACUCACUAUCUCUCACUCCCUCUCUUACUCUGGGUGGAAGGAUGGUAGUCCCAUUCCCUCCAUUUCUGUCUUUCUUUACUCACUAUCUCUCACUCCCUCUCUUUACUCUCUGGGUGGAAGGAUGGUAGUCCCAUUCCCUCCAUUUCUUUGAAAUCUAAAAGAUGUGAUGAGGUGUUGAGUGGGAAGGAGGGCAUGUGUGUGUGUGUGUGUGUGUGUGUGUGUGGCAGAGAGACAGAGAAUGAAAGUGAGGACUUUUUCCAAUCCAAAUCUGCCAUCUGCAACGAUUGGAUUCUGGCCCAUGAUUAAAGAUGGGCUACUGUCACACUC